UAUUAAAAAUUUUAUCUAUUUGUAUUAUCAAAAACUAACAUAGCUAAUAGAAUAACCAAACAGUGACAUGUGACAUGUGAACCUACCUCAUGCUAACACAUAAGGACCCAUUUGUAAUGGUAGAAAUGGAUCAAAUCUUUAACA
rnacentral:pre_miRNA from 1 species